rnacentral:rRNA from 1 species
UACGUAGGAGACGAGCGUUGUCCGGAGUUACUGGGCGUAAAGGGCGCGCAGGCGGCCUGUCAGGUGUCUGGUGAAAGCUCCCGGCUUAACUGGGAGAGGUCCAGGCAAACCGUCAGGCUUGAGCGUCGGGGAGGGGCAUGGAAUUCCGGGUGGAGCGGUGAAAUGCGUAGAGAUCCGGAGGAACACCAAUGGCGAAGGCAGUGCCCUGGCCGACGGCUGACGCUCAGGCGCGAAAGCGUGGGGAGCAGACAGG